UACAGAGGGUGCGAGCGUUGUCCGGAAUCACUGGGCGUAAAGGGCGCGUAGGCGGCUUGAUAAGCGUGCGGUGAAAGCCCGGGGCUCAACCCCGGGUCGGCCGUGCGAACUGUCGAGCUGGAGCACUGUAGAGGCAGGUGGAAUUCCGGGUGUAGCGGUGGAAUGCGUAGAGAUCCGGAAGAACACCGGUGGCGAAGGCGGUUCUCUGGGCAUGACCUGACGCUGAGGAGCGAAAGUGUGGGGAGCGAACAGG
rnacentral:rRNA from 1 species